AUUGAACGCUGGCGGCAGGCCUAACACAUGCAAGUCGGGCGAGCGGCGGACGGGUGAGUACUGUAUGGGGAUCUGCCUGAUGGAGGGGGAUAACUACUGGAAACGGUAGAUAAUACCGCGUACCAUCAGAUGAACCCAUAUGGGAUUAGCUUGUAGGGGAGGUAACGGCUCACCGAGGGGACGAUCCCUAGCUGGUCUGAGAGGAUGAUCGUCCACACUGUGACUGAGACACGGCCCAGACUCCUACGGUAGGCAGCAGGGGGGAAUAGUGAGCAAUGGGGGCAACCCGGACGCAGCCAUGCCGCGUGAAUGAAGAAGGCCUUCGGGUUGUAAAGUUCUGUCGGUAGCGAGGCGUUAACUACAGAAGAAGCACCGGCGAACUCCGGGCCAGCAGCCGCGGUAAUAC
rnacentral:rRNA from 1 species